AUUUUACCAGCUACACCCACACCCUCAAUUCUACUUGAAAUUAAUCUUAAAGAAAUUUUGAAUUUGCUGAUAAUUUGAGAUCAGUAAAGAUUUUCCCUGAAAGUUCUAAGCGUGUGUGCUGAGUUGGAAGGGCUGCAGAAGUGGGUCACGCUCACCCAACUGGAACUCGAAAGACUCAUAGAGAGCAAGCACUGGACAAUGGCCUGGUGUCCAUGAUGUAUCCCUGCCUGUCGUUACUAAUCCUACUCAGGGCCAAGCUGGAGAGAAAUAGUCCUUUCAGCCACAAGUCUUAAUAGUUUGUGUGAGUGUUAAUCUGCUUCUCAUAGAGUCACCAUGAAACACACCUUAGACAGAAUAAUACAAAGCUUUAACGAAGACCGCAGAAGAACUUCAUAUCUGAGUACCAUUUGCAAUCGAUUUACAAAUAAUGCCAGCAUCCUUAGCGACUUCUUCAGGCAAGGUUAUACUGGGGGUUUUUGAGGCUAAGCAGGUGAACUGGGAGUACCGCACACAGCAUGGCUUCCAGCCUGAAGUGACUGUAAAAUGCCAGUGAAUAGAGAGGCUCAAGGCUGAGUAAAGGAUCCUGCACACUCAACAGGCUCAUCCUUCUCUGCACCCGAGUUGUUCAUAGAGUCCCAGUUACAGAGCUUUCAGAAGGCGGAAUUCGUCCACAGCACACUAUUGAUGCCUAUCGAAUCUAAGGAAAUUAACUAAGAAGGGAAGAAAUAAUCUUCAUAGAAAAGGGAUUUGAGAACCCAGAAGAGGGUAUGGGCCUGGCAGUGUGCAUGCUGCAAACUAUGCACCAUCACUGGCCUAAAACGCACCUCUGUGUGCAUCAUUUACUCACGUUUAAAAAUCACCCUCUACUUGUUCUCCUGUGACCCUCAUUGGACUAUAUCCAGACAGCACUGAAAGUGAUAGCCAGAAAAAGUAGAAACAACCCAUGUGUUCAUCCACUGACGAAUGGAUCAAAACAUGUGGCGUGUCCAUCCAUACAAGGGGAUAUUACCCAGCAGUCAAAAGGAGCAAAGAACUGAUGUAUACCACACCAUGGCUGAUUCUCAACAGUAUGUUCAGUGAAAGAAACCAGUCAC
rnacentral:lncRNA from 10 species